GACGAACGCUGGCGGCGUGCUUAACACAUGCAAGUCGAACGAUGAAGCCCAGCUUUCUGGGUGGGUUAGUGGCGAACGGGUGAGUAACACGUGAGCAACGUUCCCGAGACUCUGGAAUAACUACCGGCAACGGUUGCUAAUACUUGGUAUGUGCCAGGGAGGCCUCUCCUCUUGUUGGAAAAAUUUUUCGGUUUCGGAUCGGCUCACGGCCUAUCAGCUUGUUGGUGGGGUAAUGGCCUACCAAGGCGACGACGGGUAGCCGGCCUGAGAGGGUGACCGGCCACACUGGGACUGAGACACGGCCCAGACUCCUACGGGAGGCAGCAGUGGGGAAUAUUGCACAAUGGGCGCAAGCCUGAUGCAGCAACGCCGCGUGAGGGAUGACGGCCUUCGGGUUGUAAACCUCUUUUAGUAGGGAAGAAGCGCAAGUGACGGUACCUGCAGAAAAAGCACCGGCUAACUACGUG
rnacentral:rRNA from 1 species